UGGGGGAAGGAAGGGCGCGGGGGAUGGCGCCGGGACGCGGGGCGCCGGGAGAGCGGGAUCGGCGCGGCGCAGAGCCGCCCGCUGCCCCUGCUCGUCCCGGGGGAAGUGCAGCAGCCCCCGCUCGAAGGGGCGCCUCGAACACAACAGCCUUUAUUAAACAAAGAAAAUGCCACUGGGAAACACGGGAGGGAGGGAAAAUAGCGGUGGGGAGCAGGGAGAAGAGUCUGGAAGAGAUCGGGAAAGAGCAGCGAGGCAGAGCUGUUCGACCCCCCGAGAGGCCGAUCCCGGGAGCCGCCGGCCGUAGGUGCCAACCCCGAGUCCCGGCGGGCGGGCAGGGGGUGUCUGCCCUGCCUGGCUUCCCGAGGGUGCCAGAGGCAUCCGCGACCUUCCGCAGGAGACCCCCCCGACGGCCCAAGGAACGUGUGGCUCCGGGCGGGCAGUCAAAGGCUGGCUUAGCUGUCAAGACAACUGCGGCUUUUGAAACGAUGCCACGAACCUGCGAUCAGGAAGACAAUCUCAGACGUAUGCCUUGAAUGUUCCCAUCACUUGUUCAAGAUUGCUUACCUCUAAGGACUAGCAGAAAGGACUGUGCGCCAAGCCUGGAUUUCUCCAGCGGCAGGGCUGCAAAUAAGUUUCUAUCAGAGACAAACCUGCAAUUUCCUCCUUUGCCACUCUUUUUGCUGUUGUAUGUAUGUCCUCUUGUUUUGCCCUAAAAAAAAAUAGGAAACAUAAUAGGAUUCUAGUGCCUGUAGCUCCAGCAGCUAUACUAAUGUAGUCUACCCCAAAAAGAGAAAACAAAUUCUUAUACAAUUUAAAGAUGUCAGAAGCCUUUCCACAUUAAAAAAUGUCUGUAGCCAAAGGGAUUAAGUGUUGAUCUAAUGAAAUAUCUACCCUUUAAA